rnacentral:rRNA from 1 species
UACGUAGGGGGCUAGCGUUGUCCGGAUUUAUUGGGCGUAAAGAGCUCGUAGGUGGUUUGUCGCGUUGUUCGUGAAAACUCACAGCUCAACUGUGGGCGUGCGGGCGAUACGGGCAGACUGGAGUACUGCAGGGGAGACUGGAAUUCCUGGUGUAGCGGUGGAAUGCGCAGAUAUCAGGAGGAACACCCGUGGCGAAGGCGGCUCUCUGGGACGGUACUGACGCUGAGACGCGAAAGCCAGGGGAGCGAACGGG